CUUUUUUCUAAAGAUUUUUAUUUCACACUUUAUGUACAUUUAGACAGGAAGAUUUGCAUCUUGUUAGUUAAUGUAAAUGCAACAUUUUAAGUUCUUUGAUUCCCUAUUCCAGUAAAUAGUUGUAAGUACAGGGAUCCUCCCAUACAGAAUUGUAUUCAUUCAAAAACUGUUUAAAAAGACAUGACACAUUGGGCUUGUAUUAAGAAAACACUAUAUAGUGUUCCUCUGCCCCCACACCCCAGCAAUGAAAUGAUAAAAAUAAACACCUUAUUUUUAUCCCCCCCACUUACCUUAGCACUGAGGUCUCUGCCUUUUCUGACAUCAAUGCAAUGGGAACCUAAUGUGCAAGUUUAAUGAAGGACACGCCUCUAGUGGUUAACUGGAAGACAGCCAUUAGAAAGCGGUCUUAACAUUGCAAUGUAAAUAUUGCAGUUUUUCUUAAACGACAAUGUUUCACAUUGCAGGGUUAAGGGGACAGGAACACUGCAUCCAACCACUUCAAUGAGAUGUUGUGGUCUGGUUGCCUAUAGUAUCUCUAACACCUUAAUGCACAUAAAAUGCAUACAACAGCAUAACUCACCACUAAGGGUCCAUUCACUAAACCGUGAAUAAUGGCAUCUAAAGUACAUAUUUUUCGUUUGACAUUCAAUACAUCAGAUACAUAUAGUUUACUCAAGAGACACUUUAAGUUAGUUCGCAAAGUUUAAGUCCGCAAAGGUGAGUUAACAUUUGGCUCUUUUUUUCCAAUAGUGUGCCUCUGCAAUAAAAUUUGGAUAAUACAACAGGUGUGUCAAAUAUUGAAAACAGUGAAAUUAUUAAAGUGGGCAUGUCACCAGUAUAGUAACAACUUUUAAGAUAUUAACCCUGGGAUAGGUAAAGGAAAAAAAAUUAAAAAAAAAUCUUCCACCAGCCAAAAGACAGGGGAAACCUAUAACCCUAUCCCCUAGUUAAGGAGGAGUCACCUGUUUCUAUUAGUAUAACAGGGGGUAACCCUAAUCACUAGAAAUAGAAAGAAAAACAAUAUCCCAGAUGUCCACUCCAAUGGAGAUGGGUGUAUAGGAAUUAGUACAAACUGAAAUAGAUUAGUAGCCAAAAACCAAAAAAUAAAAAACCUUUAAUUAAAUCUAAAAGCGUAGAGCUACUUUAUCUAAUAAAGGGUCCUAAUUAGGAAACAAAUAUCUGCAUGCUGGGUAAUGGUGUAGGAGAGGAAUUAAAGAGAUGAGUAAGAUAAGGGGUACAUGAAGUGUUCCACUUAAGAGAGAUACCCUGCCAUGAAGCUGAACCUAAUAAGGGGUGAUUGGGUAACAGAGGGAUAAUCUGUAUCUCAUCCAAAAAGAGAACUCCUGGAUAUCAGCCAAUUGGAGAUUAGAAAUUGGAUAUGAGAGAAACAAAAAGACUCCCAAAACGAAAAAAAAAAAAAAAAAAAUAUUUAUAUAUAUAUAUUAAAAAAAGUCACUGCUGGGUUGAUAGCAGGGUAUCCCUCUUAAAGGACCACUACAGUGCCAGUCUCAUAGGAAAGCAUUCACAAUGCUUUCCUAUGGACGCUGGCGUCUUCUCACUGAUUUUCACAGCGAGAAGCACGCAAGUGCCUCUAGCGGCUGUCAAUGAGACAGCCACUGGAGGCUGGAUUAACCCUCAGUGUAAACAUAGCAGUUUCUCUGACACUGCUAUGUUUAUAGAAAAAAGGGUUAGUCCUGGCUGGACCUGGCACCCAGACCACCUCAUUAGGCUGAAGUGGUCUGAGCGCCUAUAGUGGUCCUUUAAGUGGAACGCUUCAUGUACCGCUUAUCUGUCUCGUAGGGCUGAUACCCCAUUAACUGGUAUGCAGACAUUGGUUUCCCAUUUAGGACCCUCUAUUAGAUAAAUUAGCUCUACGCUUUUAGAGAUAAAGGUUUAUUUUUUGGCUACUUAUCUAUUUCAGGUUGUACUAAUUCUUAUACACCCAUCUCCAUUUGAGUGGAUGUCUGGGAUAUUGUUUUUCUCUCUCUGUCACCAGUAUAGCUUUUAAUGUAAUUAAAAUAUAAAUAACUGCUGAUAUCUUGUUGGAG